CUCUGGAAAAACUAAGAUAAGGUAUGACUAAUCAAUCAGACUCUAGUAUAUACUUUUCAUGUAUCUAUGAUCUCUAAAUUAGCAAAUCAAUAACACUGCCAAAUCUCCACUAAUUACGUGAUUUCUAUUAUAAGCUUUCUAUCUAUUGUAUAAUUUCCAAACAGAUCCUAACCCCACCUAAACCCGACCCAAUCAACCUC
rnacentral:lncRNA from 1 species